AGAGCCCGCUGGGCCCUGCACACACAGGAGCCUCCCAGGGCCCAUGGGCCUGACUCCAAGACAGCCCCCAUUCUCAUGCCCUGUUAUUUAAAUUUCAGUUCCUAAAUUUUACCAAAAUUGCCACGAUAAAAAAAUUACCUGCUUACAGGGGUGUUAAAAGACUCUGUUCCUUAGAGGAUCUGCUAAGUGAGGAGCUUCCACCUGGGUUUCAGGAGAACUGAGAAGUUACAGCUGUGCCUGGAGCCCCUCAGAGCGCAGCACUGAGUUAGAGACAAGGCCAGCUGGCUCAUGCACAGCCAAUCCUCUGAAAUCCAGCAGCCGGGAGUGAACUUCCCAGCCACAGGCCAAGCGGCUGAUGCUACACACUGGGUGGCGUUGCUAAGCUGGAGUCUCCAAGAAAGGAGGUGCAUUAAACACAUUUUCCACUCAAGCUGCGUUCAACUCACAAGGGCCUUAUCAGCAUGUGACCCACUGCAGUCCAGGAGAAGCAUCUGCAUAUUACUGCUGAUCGGAGACUGGUUCAACAGUUGUCUACAAGCCAGACAAUCAGGGUAAUUGAUCCACUGGGGCUGCCGCAUGGCUCAGCAACACCCAGGUCUGACUCCUUAGUCCUUGCUUUGCAUCCUGUGGUCCCAAGUAGCUGCGUCCCCUCCCUCUGUGUGCGCAGAGCCCUGGGAACAGAGGGCAGGAGGGCACAGUGGGGUGGCAGCAUUCACCUGGCCCAGCCAGCCAGCUCCACUGGGCUUCCCUAGGCCAUGCCCCCACCUAGCUGGAAACCAGGACCAUGCUCAGCCAGAACUUGGAACAGUGGUGAAGGGGAUGGGAGGAGUGCUGUGUAAUUAGACCCCUGCCACACUGGAAGUCCUGGCUUCCAAACCUGGGAAUCCCAAGGUUGCAAAAGACUCUUAAAUGCAGGAACAGAACUCUUUCUGCCAACCAUGCUCAGUGUGGCCAAUGAUUGCCAUUCUGUGCCACCUGCCACAGACUUCCACCCCCGUCCCCUGACUAUACCUUGCCCAGCGCUCCAUUUCUAGGCACUCAUUAUAUUCAUGCACUGUG